rnacentral:rRNA from 1 species
UACGUAGGGUGCGAGCGUUAAUCGGAAUUACUGGGCGUAAAGCGUGCGCAGGCGGUUCGUCAAGUCUGAUGUGAAAGCCCCGGGCUCAACCUGGGAAUGGCAUUGGAAACUAGCGAGCUUGAGUGUGGCAGAGGGGGGUGGAAUUCCACGUGUAGCAGUGAAAUGCGUAGAGAUGUGGAGGAACACCGAUGGCGAAGGCAGCCCCCUGGGCUAACACUGACGCUCAUGCACGAAAGCGUGGGGAGCAAACAGG